rnacentral:pre_miRNA from 1 species
AAUAAGAUCGUUUUUUAGUUUUUUGAUACAAUGUUUUGACUCUUCGUUUUUUUUUGAAAUUUUUUUGCGAUUCUAUUUAUAUUUUUACUAAAUGAUAAAACAUGAAUAAUACUUUAUACAUGACUAAUUUUUUUUAAAGUUUUUCUACAAAUUUUUUAAAUAAGACGAAUGGUCAAACGUUGGGUAUGGAAAAAC